rnacentral:rRNA from 1 species
GAAUUCACUAGUGAUUCAGGCCUAACACAUGCAAUUCGAGCGGGAUCUUUCUAAAUGACGCUUCGGUUGAUUUUAGAAAGUGAGAGCGGCGGACGGGUGAGUAACGCGUAGGCAACCUGCCCUUUGCAGAGGGAUAGCCAUUGGAAACGAUGAUUAAAACCUCAUAACGCCAGAUUGAGACAUCUCUAACUGGCCAAAGAUUUAUCGGCAAAGGAUGGGCCUGCGUCUGAUUAGCUAGUUGGUGGGGUAACGGCCUACCAAGGCGACGAUCAGUAGCCGACCUGAGAGGGUGAUCGGCCACAUUGGAACUGAGACACGGUCCAAACUCCUACGGGAGGCAGCAGUGGGGA